rnacentral:rRNA from 1 species
GAUGAACGCUAGCUACAGGCUAACACAUGCAAGUCGAGGGGUAACGAGAGGAAAGCUUGCUUUCCUUGUCGACGACCGGCGCACGGGUGAGUAACGCGUAUCCAACCUGCCCCCAACUAGGGAAUAACCUUGCGAAAGUAAGACUAAUACCCUAUAAUUUCCUCAGAUGUCAUCUGACGAGGAAUAAAGAUUUAUCGGUUGUGGAUGGGGAUGCGUCUGAUUAGCUUGUUGGCGGGGCAACGGCCCACCAAGGCAACGAUCAGUAGGGGUUCUGAGAGGAAGGUCCCCCACAUUGGAACUGAGACACGGUCCAAACUCCUACGGGAGGCAGCGGUGAGGAAUAUUGGUCAAUGGGCGGAAGCCUGAACCAGCCAAGUAGCGUGCAGGAUGACGGCCCUAUGGGUUGUAAACUGCUUUUAUACAGGUAUAAAGUUAGCCACGUGUGGUUAUUUGUAGGUACUGUAUGAAUAAGGACCGGCUAAUUCCGUGCCAGCAGCCGCAGUAA